GUAGUCAUAUGCUUGUCUCAAAGAUUAAGCCAUGCAUGUCUAAGUAUAAACAAAUUUGUACUGUGAAACUGCGAAUGGCUCAUUAAAUCAGUUAUAGUUUAUUUGAUGGUACUUUGCUACAUGGAUAACUGUGGUAAUUCUAGAGCUAAUACAUGCAAUCAAGCCCCGACUCACGGAGGGGUGUAUUUAUUAGAUAAAAAACCAAUGCGGUUCGCCGCUCCUUGGUGAUUCAUAAUAACUGUUCGAAUCGCAUGGCCUUGCGCCGGCGAUGCUUCAUUCAAAUAUCUGCCCUAUCAACUUUCGAUGGUAGGAUAGUGGCCUACCAUGGUUUCAACGGGUAACGGGGAAUAAGGGUUCGAUUCCGGAGAGGGAGCCUGAGAAACGGCUACCACAUCCAAGGAAGGCAGCAGGCGCGCAAAUUACCCAAUCCCGACACGGGGAGGUAGUGACAAUAAAUAACAAUAUAGGGCUCUUUUGGGUCUUAUAAUUGGAAUGAGUACAAUUUAAAUCCCUUAACGAGGAACAAUUGGAGGGCAAGUCUGGUGCCAGCAGCC
rnacentral:rRNA from 1 species